rnacentral:tRNA from 1 species
GCCCAAGUAGUACAGUGGUUAGUACUCCAACGUGUUGACCGUGGCGUCUCAGGUUCGAUUCCUGUUGGGGGCA